rnacentral:rRNA from 1 species
UACGGAGGGUGCAAGCGUUAUCCGGAUUCACUGGGUUUAAAGGGUGCGUAGGUGGGUUGGUAAGUCAGUGGUGAAAUCUCCGAGCUUAACUUGGAAACUGCCAUUGAUACUAUCAGUCUUGAAUAUUGUGGAGGUUAGCGGAAUAUGUCAUGUAGCGGUGAAAUGCUUAGAUAUGACAUAGAACACCAAUUGCGAAGGCAGCUGGCUACGCAUAUAUUGACACUGAGGCACGAAAGCGUGGGGGAUCAAACAGG